UAUAAUAACUGCAUAUACAACAGCUGCAUGUGUAUUUGUACAUGCUUACAUGCAUGCAUGGAUGCAGGCAUGAGUGGUAAGUGGGAGGUCCAACUGAUACUUACAGUUCUAGAAGGUGCAACUGAAGUGACUCAGGCAGUGGCUGAAGGGGCACCCAUCCCAGUCUCACAGCUAUACGUCCAACAUUUGUGUCAACCUUUAAGAAGAGGCAGAUAUAAAAUGGUGAGUUAAAGAUAUGUUCCAUCACUAUUCAGGACAUUUGGAAUUUAAACCUACCGGAAAAGCAAGAUGGUGAAGCGUCAAAAGCCGCACACAUUCUACACUCUUCAAGCCCAAUCCUCUUAUGCUUAGCAGAUACUCCCUGCAGGCAAAAAGUAAACAAACACAGGCAAAAUUUUUGGAAUGGCUAGAUAAGCAUGUGGAGACGAUGAAUGGCUGACAUUGCACUCAGGUUUGUCAGGGGUUGUACAUAGACAAUGGCAAUGCUAGCGACAAGGAUGCAAGGUUUGCCAUAGAUGCUGCACAUUACUGUUUCAUUGUCAUUUUUCGCCGGUUUCCAUCCUAAGCAUAUCUCUCAUCCCUUCUAUUACGUUUAGAAGCAUGAAUUUUGCACCUUAGAUUUGGAUGUGUGGAUUCUAAGGGAGCUCAAUACAAUUUUGUACUGUGUUUUGUCCAAAUCAACACCCAAAAUCAAGGUCCGAAAUCCAUGUUCCCUAACACGGUGAGUGCCAUUUCAGUUUUUUGUUUUCUUGCAUUAUUUAUAGUGGUCCUCGUUUUUGUAAUAGAAGUUCAUACUGUAAUAAUGGAUGGACUUGGGCUUCCACAACAAUGCAAGUAAGCUUUGAAAAGCAACUAAGUAACACUCACAUUGAGGUAUGUUGGGCAUGCAAUUGUUAAUCCAAAUGUUUGAUUUGAGCAUAUCUUGGCCUUCGAACAGUGAACUUGUUGAGCUAGGCUCUAGCUGGUUAGCUGCCGAGGCACCCAUCGGAGUCAUAGUGCAGGCGCCUGUGAACUCCAAGUGAUCUUCGAAUGAUAUAUUGCCGGUAGAGACAUGGAUUUCGCCAGCUAAAGCUCCCUCCCAAUUGUGAAUGCUUUUCUCCGAUUUCCCACAAUUUGUUGAAUCGUAACACACAACUCUCACAUUAGCCCCAGAUUCUUGAGAAAGCCCAGAUGAAAAUCUCUCUGAUUUCAACCAUCCUAGCUGGUUCCCUUGUCUCUCUGCAUGGAUCUGCUGCGGUUUUGGUAGAAUGGGCUUAUAAGGUGUCCCUGGAACCCAAGAACCCUGAAUUUUUAAACUGCUUUCAUUUGAAAUGGAACUCCCUCUUCUCAUCUCCAUUCUGAACUUGCAAAAACCCAAACUCACUGAUUUCUCCCCGAUUUUUGUACUUUUCUGGAGCAACAACCCUCUUCAACAUGCUCAACAUCUGAAAUACCUCUUCAUAGCUGAGUUUAGGGUUAAAUUGCACUUAAAAAAAACUUCAGGGUAAGGCCUGUUGUGGAAUUGUCCUGCCAGAAGAGGGGGAAAAGAAAUAAAAUUAGACUAACAAUGGAAAAAAGGGCAAACCUGCAGGAUCCAUUUGAGCUGAAACAAAAGAUCAGUGAAAAUCAAGCUUGCUAAAAGCUCACAAUUAUUCGAGAAACAUUUUAAACAUAUAGAUCUCUGAAAUGCUUUCACCCCACAGCUAUCCUGUGAGCCAAAUCGCAGCAAGCUGACACAGCAGCAAGUGUGUUUUUUUUUUUUUCUUUGGAAGAAGAAUCAAAGAAUUAAAUGAGCCAUAAAAUUGGUUGAAUUUCAGUAAUUGUCGAAACUGGGUCUGAGGAGUACCGCAAGAGAAUAGUUUUAAAAAAGGAAAAACAAAGAAAAAAGAAAAUCCCAACAGAAUCUCUCUGAUUUCCCAAGAGAUAAUGCCGCUUUACUCUGCCCUGUUCCUCGGCACGCAUAUAAACGCACGAUAAUAAAACUUAGAAAGAAGAACCAUUCAACAUCACAGAGUUACCGGAGAAGUGGAUCAUUUCCAGAGAUCUGAUUCAUCCAACGGCGGCCACCACAACAGGAACAGACUCUUUCCAUGAGAGAGAAGAAACCAAACGGGGAGAGGGCUUUUGUAUUAUAUAUAUAUACUCCUCACAGCUGGUUGAACUGAUAACUCUUUUCCCGGUGAGGGUAUAUUUGUACAUUCACGGCUGCCAACAAGCACGGCGUGUAAAGCGUCCCAGCAGGACUUCUACACGUGAUCGACUGGAAACUGAGCCAGGCCGCGCAUGCUCGACACUUGGCACGUGGCAAGAUGUCCAUUCCCCAUAAUAGGUUUCGGCUGGAUUACGACGCCGUUUCGACGACGCUAAGCAGGCGACGCCACCGAGAGUACCCUCGCUAUUUAUUUAUUCAUUUAUUUUCGUUUUUCGUUGGACGGCGGCGAUGAGUCCAAAGGCGGUCGUCAGUUGACGCCGUUAGUGGGCCCCACCGGUGCACGCUUUUCUAGUGGGGGGAGGUUGGUGGUGUUCGAUACUUUAAUGUGGCUUUGCUCCCCUGGUGUGUGACUGGGAAUUAUCAUGGCAUCGGAUCGGACGGCGGAGAGACGUCGAUGAGCAUCUUAUCGGAAAUGUGCGGUGAUUUGAUGGGAGAAAGGGGGGUCGGCGGUUGGGUUAUUUAAUUUUGUUCCCAAUUAAAACUUGGCAUAUUAUAUUGUUGUAAGAACUUUUGAAAGGAAGUUACGAGACCGUUGCUGUU